rnacentral:lncRNA from 1 species
GGCAGCCUGCGGUGCGCACGGCCACAGGGUGUGUGAGAGGAUGCGAGGUUGGCGGAGAAGGAAGAGUUGUGUGUCUGAGGAUCGUGUGGAGUUGCGAGUUGGUGAGGUGGGCAGGAGAGUGCGCAGGGAAUGAGCUGCUUUCCACUUUGCCAGUGGAGACUGGCACCUGCCACUCCAGCCUCACAGCCAUGGGAACCUAUUUCUCCAAAGAGAUAGCCUCGCCUUUGAGAGUGGGAGGAUAAAAUGGAAAGGUGUUAAGAAUGGCGAUGGCAAAUUAGGGAAGUGAGGAGCAAAGUAGAGAAGUACCAUUGCAGAAACUGGGAAAGCUAGGACCAGCAAACGCACAACAAAUAUGCUCUUUUGAGAAAUUUGCUGCUAUUCAGUAAAUGAUCCUCAUGUGAUGGACGAGGAAACUGAGGACAAGAGAAGGUGACACUGAGGAAUUCCAUGUCCGAUCUCUUCCUGAAACCUG